GCGUACGUGCGCCAGAAUAUGGUAACCCUGAUAAUUGUUGCAACCCAGACAGGGAAUUUUCCUGAAGGAGGAAAAGGGAAAUUUUCUGUUUACUUUUCGAACAUUACGGUUGAACUGCCCUUCAAUGAAAGCUUUUGCUCGAUGUGUGGCCUGUAAUAGCAAUAAAUGGGACUUUUGUGAACUGAAAUCUGUUAGGCUUUCCAAAAUCCAGAAAGCUGAUUAGGUGUGCAGAAGCAGCAGACUUGUAAAUGUGAAGGAGCUAUUUGCUUAGUUAUGCAGUAGAAUUCACCACCCUGCGGCAAGCUUCAUUAAAGCUGUGAACAGCCAAGCUAACCAUCUUCAGGGCAAGUGGCUGCAUCAAGCAAACCCAGUGACAUUCCAAAGAGGAAUGUCAGUCAAAAUAAAAACUUAAUACCUAAAUCUCGGAAAAUCAGACAAUUAAGCCACAAAUCUUGUGACCAAUUUUUCAGUUGCUGUGCUUAGUGCGAUAAAGUUAUAUGGCAAUAAACUGAAAAGCUAUGGCAGGUAUUCUAUUGUACCCUUUAAUGAAAUCAAUUUAAAGCAAGCUUAUCAUAUGAUAAGCAAAAUGAUUGUAUCAUUGGAUAUGAAGACUAUGGUAAUGAUUGCAUUGCUGGGUAUGCAGGCUAUGGUUCUACAAUGAGCCAAAUGUAAUAUCUCAGUAUGCUGUGACUAUUAAAAUUAUAACUUAUGUAUUAUUACUUCAUAUUGGUCAUUAUGUUCCAAAAUAGAUGCUCUUUUUAUAUAGAACUAUAUAAAUGUAGAAAAUCUGAGAAGUUAAUUUUAUAUGGAAAGCCUUCGUGCAAAAUUAAUAGCAUCUUGUUAAUUUCAUAUAUGUUUUGUGAAAGUAAUUGCUGCUGAAUCUAGAAUUAAUGCAUUAUCUGAGAUUUGAGACAAAAUUUGUCAAAUUAGAAGAUAGUGAAAUAGAUAAAUAGGAAAUGAAACAUGAAAUUUAUAUAUUUAAUAUUGAAAUAAAUAUCUCAGUAAAGUGGCUGUAUGUAAAGUAUAAUGAUGCAAUUUUUAUAAUUUUUUACUAAAAUGCUAAAAUUAUGUGCUAUGAAAAUUUUAUUUUCAUUAAUAUUUAUAAU